AAAGCAUUGUGUUGUAAAGUCCCUGAGAAAUUUGUUUGUCACUUCGUCGUUUGCGUUUCUAUCGCGUCGGAGAAAUGAACGAAGAAUUGAGGGAAGCGGUGAAGAGAGGUGAUAUUGAGUCAGUAACGCGUCUUUUGGAUACACAAGUUGAUAUCACGUGAUUUCGUUUGGAACACUCUUCUGAUACAAGCGUGUUGGAAGAAGAACAAGGAGAUGGUUGAGUUGCUGUUCACGAAAUCAGUAGAUGUUAAGGGGACCAACAGGAGGGGAUGGACAGCUUUGAUGAUAGGAGCAAUGCAUGGAUCUGAAGAAAUCAUCAAUCUGUUACUGAAUGUCAAAGAUAUUAAUGUGAUGAAG